UGCCCAGCAACUCCUAUCCCUACCUCCUCGUGGUACUGGUUGGAAACUACGCUGGAAUCAACGUCCGAGUUCCAGGGAAGG
rnacentral:ribozyme from 1 species